CCUACGGGAGGCAGCAGUGGGGAAUCUUAGACAAUGGGCGCAAGCCUGAUCUAGCCAUGCCGCGUGAGUGAUGAAGGCCCUAGGGUCGUAAAGCUCUUUCGCCAGGGAUGAUAAUGACAGUACCUGGUAAAGAAACCCCGGCUAACUCCGUGCCAGCAGCCGCGGUAAUACGGAGGGGGUUAGCGUUGUUCGGAAUUACUGGGCGUAAAGCGCGCGUAGGCGGACCAGAAAGUUGGGGGUGAAAUCCCGGGGCUCAACCCCGGAACGGCCUCCAAAACUCCUGGUCUUGAGUUCGAGAGAGGUGAGUGGAAUUCCGAGUGUAGAGGUGAAAUUCGUAGAUAUUCGGAGGAACACCAGUGGCGAAGGCGGCUCACUGGCUCGAUACUGACGCUGAGGUGCGAAAGUGUGGGGAGCAAACAGGAUUAGAUACCCUGGUAGUCCACACCGUAAACGAUGAAUGCCAGUCGUCGGGUAGCAUGCUGCUCGGUGACACACCUAACGGAUUAAGCAUUCCGCCUGGGGAGUACGGUCGCAAGAUUAAAACUCAAAUGAAUUGACGG
rnacentral:rRNA from 1 species